rnacentral:rRNA from 1 species
CCUACGGGAGGCACAGUGGGGAAUAUUGCACAAUGGGCGCAAGCCUGAUGCAGCCAUGCCGCGUGUGUGAAGAAGGCCUUCGGGUUGUAAAGCACUUUCAGCGGGGAGGAAGGCGUUAAGGUUAAUAACCUUGGCGAUUGACGUUACCCGCAGAAGAAGCACCGGCUAACUCCGUGGCCAGCAGCCGCGGUAAUACGGAGGGUGCAAGCGUUAAUCGGAAUUACUGGGCGUAAAGCGCACGCAGGCGGUCUGUCAAGUCGGAUGUGAAAUCCCCGGGCUCAACCUGGGAACUGCAUUCGAAACUGGCAGGCUAGAGUCUUGUAGAGGGGGGUAGAAUUCCAGGUGUAGCGGUGAAAUGCGUAGAGAUCUGGAGGAAUACCGGUGGCGAAGGCGGCCCCCUGGACAAAGACUGACGCUCAGGUGCGAAAGCGUGGGGAGCAAACAGGAUUAGAUACCCGGGUAGUC